rnacentral:lncRNA from 1 species
AGAUAAUAUCCUGGCAGAGACUGGUUUUUCAGCUCCCGGGUGUUCGUCGUCCUUGUGAUUGGCCGAGUUAACCUGGAGAAAUCUGGAAAAUGUUCUUGCUUUCUCAAAUAGGUCGCGUUGAGGAUUUGUGUUAAUGGAAUAAGAUGGAUAAGAGAAACUGGACAGUGGAGCUGAGGGAGCGGUCCACAUGGCUUUCCCGAUCUCGAAGCUCUCUGUGCUCCGAAACCAGCAAAACCAUGGCGUCGGUUCCUCCGAGAGAAUCAUUGGCAGGGAGCAGCGAGGACCACCAGCUGGUCGCUGGUGUAGGGGAGGGAACGCUUUAAAGGGGAGCAGAGCUCCUCCCUUCUUCCCUGUUUCUACCCGGAGGCAGGUCGGAGGAACAGAAAUGGCCGCUUUCCUCGCGAUAGCUUUCACCUGGGACCCCUACACGGUAUGAGAUCAAACGGGUUUCGUACAUAAACAGGAUCGAGCUCUUGAUCUCACCCUUCUGCUGAUUCUUCUCCGCAGGAAGAGCCCAUCUUCUCGGCGACUGCUUCCAGUAGAAGUUGCUUCUUGUGUUCUUCCCGAGUCCUCUAGCACCAGAGGGUUCC